UACGGGGGGGGCAAGCGUUGUUCGGAAUUACUGGGCGUAAAGGGCGCGUAGGCGGUUCGAUAAGUCAGCUGUGAAAACCAUGGGCUUAACUCAUGGCCUGCAGUUGAGACUGUCGGGCUGGAGUGUGGGAGAGGAGAGUGGAAUUCCUGGUGUAGCGGUGAAAUGCGUAGAUAUCAGGAGGAACACCGGUGGCGAAGGCGGGUCUCUGGGCCGUAACUGACGCUGAGGAGCGAAAGCAUGGGGAGCGAACAGG
rnacentral:rRNA from 1 species